AUAUUCUUAAGUAGAAAAAAUAGGGUUUGCCCAUUUCUCAGAAUAUAGAAUGUUACAGAUAGAGAGCAGUAUUAGAUUAUGCCUAUGACCUGGUUUCCAUGGCAACACAUUCAUUAUCUUAUCUCAUUCUUUUCUAAGUUACCCAAUUUAACUGCCUUAUCCCUUUUAUCACACCUCCCCCUCAUUUAACACUCACCAGAUCCUUUUCUGAUGCUGUGGAGGCAGUAUAACAGCUUUCACAGCUGCUUGCUGAAUGGAAUGGGAAAAUGCACACACAUACACACAAACACACACACACAUUCUCUCUGUCACACACACACACACACACACACACACACACACUGGGAGUAUGUGGAGGGAGAGGAAUUUUGGCAGGAUUUCAGGAUCAAGGAAUGCAAGUGGCAGAAGGCUUCCCUUGCUUAUUGGCUGAAGGUCUACAAGGACUUGAUUCACAUAUCUGAUCAUACCUGGAGUCCAGACUUCCUCCUGAUGCCUGUACUUUGAAAUGGAUUCCACCAUCACUGCUGGGAGUCAGCCAUCAGUCUAGGCAUCAUGACUCUGGAGGUUCUUUUUGAGGGGAGUCUCUUUGAUGCUUGGAAUGAAUCCUGCUGGAUCACUGCCGAUGCUUGGAGAUCUUCACGUCUCUUCCCUCUUUCCCAUUGCUCAUGAUGUCUGUGUAACCUCCAACUAUGCAUCCCACUCCUCUUCUGAGAGACCAUUUUUUCAUAUCUUUGGUGAUGGUAUAGGCCAGGAUGAUUGGCUUUUCUGUUUUUCUUAAACCAGCUGAAGUCCUCACCACAAAUUAAUGCUAUAUUUUGGCUGAUUCACUGGGCCUGAAUGAUAAUGUUAUUUCCCACAGUGCACUAAAACAUGGGGCAGAAAUGGAAAGGUGGAUGUAUUUCUUAAUUUCCUGAAAUCUAAGCAGUGAAGUCUCACUUUUACAACAAAGGCAGCUUUGAUAGAAUGUUUGGAAACAAGUCUUUUGCUGAGCUGGUUGUGAAAUCUUAUUGGUUGGAGAGAAUGCAAGUGCAUUUCAGUGAGCACAGGUGCUGGAAGUAAGGAAUCAGGAGUAGAGUCUACAGGUGCGGAAAAAAAGAUUUUUAUAGAGACCCCCAGCUCGAAAUGUAGUUGCUCAAAAGCUGGACUUGGCCAUUCAUUUAUUUGAAGCCCUUUGAAAAUCUGACAUUUCUGUGGGCCUGUUAGUGGUGAACUGGGUUGGGGGGGGUGAGUGGGGUGAGGGAGGGAGCUUGCCAGCUUAGAGGUUAAUUGUGCUAAUUAACAGAAAGGACACAGGCUUCAGAAAGUGCCUCUGUGGACUGGAAAAAUUUCCCAAUAUUUCAUUAGGGUGACUUUGAAAAGGUUGCAGGCAAAUGGCACUUUUCACUUUAAAAAUCUAAACCAUGGCUUUUUAACCAUUUUUAAAGUUUGAGUUUGAAAAGUCCACUUUUAGUGUUAUUUAAAACUUGUCCCAUGGGAAGUCUGGAGGAAAGGAAAGACUGCAUUUUUAAGGGCAUCGUUCUCGCCUUUCAUUCCUUUAUGCUUAGCAUUUUCUUUCUCGACACUUAUUUUAAAAGCCUCAUUCUCUCCUCCUCCCAGUGCGAACCCACGCCAUAUCCCCGAAUCUGUUGUGGAAGAGCAGACUGGAAGACAUCUGCCUCUUGCCUUAUUUUUUUUAAUUCCUCUAAAUGAUAGAGCCAAGUCUCCACACCAGAGCUCCCUCUCCCUGAACAAACCAAAUGGCGGCUGUUGGCAGCACACUGACAGCUUGUUAAUGGAGGAAUCCUUGACAGUGUGACAACCUGCCUGGGCUGCGCAGGAAGCCAAAUCCGCCCCCACACAAACCCGGGUAAUUAACAGGUGGAGAAAAAUAGCAACUAACUGCCACUGAGGAGAGGAAAAAUAGUCAACCUAGUGAAUUAUGUAUAUUAAAGUAUAAUAUCUCUUUUACAAUCCCUUUCCUAGUUCUUGCUAGCAAGCUCUACUGGAAAGUGCUUUGACUUUGGAGUCAGGCGAGCCUGGAUUUGAAUCAAAGUUUGGCCACCUACUGGCUGUGUGUGACUCUGGGAAAAUUCCCUUACUGAACCUCCAUUUGUGAGCAGUUCUACGGUCAGAUACAAUUACAGAUGCCACUUAUCGGUGUUCAAUCGUCAAAACCUCUUUAUGAUGAUGGAUUUGCAAAAUUGUUCUUGUAGUUCUGUCAAGUUUUGUUUUUUAUAUUGUGAGGCAGUUUUUUGGUGCACUAGGUUUGAAAUUGUUAUUUCUACUAGGCAAAUUGGGCUUUUUAUCAUUAGACAGUGACUUCCUUUCUUUCUAGUCAUACUUUUUGUCCUGAAAUUAUUUUUUGUGAUGCUAUUUUAUGUACACACACACACACACACACACACACACAUACACACACACACACACACUCACUCACUCUCUCUCUCUAUUUGGUAAUGUUUCUGUGCUUUCAGGUUUCACGGGGCUAGGGAUACAGGAUGAAGGGCAUAGAGAAGGGGAGGGUUCUGGUUAGCUAUUGCUUGAUUAAGGCAUCCACACUGGUUGAGCUGACUGUCUAGACAUCAUUUUCUCCCAGCUCCCUCAAACCCAAAAUAUAUCUGCAUGAAUUCCAAUAAAGAAAUCUUUUCAGAGAAGCAUGUGCUGGCACCACCCACACCAGCUGGAACAUUUGUCUCUCAGCUCUGACCUACAGUAGAAAAGACAUGGAAGGAAUUUCUCAAAACUUAGAUCUGUAGCUCUUGAUAUAAUACCAGGGGCUAAAAUGAAUUUAGAAGACAUUCAAGACUGUUUAAAAUAGUUAUUUUCAAGCUUUCUUGUGUCUUAGAUCUCUUUGUGAAUGUGAUGAAAGCUAUGGACUCUCGCCUCAGGAAAAAAUGCGAAACCACAAGAUUUUCAAACAAUUUUAGCUGAUCCUAGUUUUAGUCCUAAAGUUCCAGAGACUCCAGGUAAAAGGACAGUUGUUUAAUACUCAAGUAAACAUUAAGGGAUAAAAGGUAGGAUGGAAAAUGUAGAUACAUGCAAAUAUAUGGGUUAGAAUGGUGGACUGUGCAGUCAUGGCAGAAAGUUUGCUGCCGACUCUUUUCUAGGGUGGGAUCAGAUUUAUCAGUGAAACAAUGGUCCUGAGCAGAACUGCCCUGUGGCAAAGGAAACCUGAGCUGAAGACUAAAUGAGAAAGUCCAGAACCAGUGAACAUGACCCCGGGUAAAAACCUCUAGAAAACAUCCCCCAAGGAGGGCUUCAUAACCCAGGGCUCACUGAAGAAAAUUUCAAUUGAAGAUAAGCUGAGGAGAAAAUAUCACAAAACACUGAAAAACGCCCCUGUGAACGGUAAGUCAGCAGGUGCAACAAAUAAAGCAUUCAUGCCCAAGAAAGUAAAAGUAAUGAAAUCAGCUGAAAAGUACUUUAAUGUAACAGUGUUGAAAAUAUUUAAAGUUUAAAAAGGAUAGAAUCCAUAAGAAUGGAGAUAAUGGAAGAGGACAGAAAAACUUGGGGGAAAAAGAGCUGGUUUCAGAAAAGAAAAAUAUCGGUAUGGAUUGGAGGAAACAUUAAGGACACUUUCAUCGGUAGACUACACAGGGUUAAGAAGUGAAUAAGUAAAAUGGAAAGAUUGUCAGAGGAAAUCAUCCAGAAUACAUCAGAGACAGAAGAAGAGUUGAGGGCUAAGAAAGAAAAGCUGAAGAACGGAAGAAUUUGGAAUUUUGCCCUAGACACACAGUAGUGAAACUCCAACAUUCAUGUAUCAUGGGAAAGUUCUAAAAGUUAUCAGGCAGAAGAGACAGCUUAUUUUAAAAAGUCACUGUCAGACAAAAGGCAGACUCUCAUUAUCAGUAAUAGAUGCCAGGAAAUAAAAAGGAAAGAAAUAAAAAUAUCUCCAGGGCACUGAGGCAAAAUUGUGUGAAUAUAUAUCUUACUAAUGCAAAUGAUGCAAAAACCAAAACAAACCAAAACAAAAACUGAACACCUGUUGGAAAUGUUGAGUUCACUCUGGUCUGUGAAAUUUAAAAAAAGUUAUUUUCAUCUCAAUAUUUCUGUAUUAUUCACAUUUCCUGUAAUAAACAUGAUUUACUUAUGUAAAAAGGUGAAUAUUAAAAAACAAAUAUUCUGAGUUGAAAUUAUAGGAACUUUGUUAAUGUCUGUUCAAAUUAAGCUCAU